rnacentral:rRNA from 1 species
GACGAACGCUGGCGGCGUGCUUAACACAUGCAAGUCGAACGGAAAGGCCCUGCUUUUGUGGGGUGCUCGAGUGGCGAACGGGUGAGUAACACGUGAGUAACCUGCCCUUGACUUUGGGAUAACUUCAGGAAACUGGGGCUAAUACCGGAUAGGAGCUCCUGCUGCAUGGUGGGGGUUGGAAAGUUUCGGCGGUUGGGGAUGGACUCGCGGCUUAUCCGCUUGUUGGUGGGGUAGUGGCUUACCAAGGCUUUGACGGGUAGCCGGCCUGAGAGGGUGACCGGCCACAUUGGGACUGAGAUACGGCCCAGACGCCUACGGGAGGCAGCAGUGGGGAAUAUUGCACAAUGGGCGGAAGCCUGAUGCAGCAACGCCGCGUGCGGGAUGACGGCCUUCGGGUUGUAAACCGCUUUCGCCUGUGACGAAGCGUGAGUGACGGUAAUGGGUAAAGAAGCACCGGCUAACUACGUG